GUUCUCAUAGUUGAAAGUACAACGAUGGUUUUUCAGAUCAUAGGUCUUGGGUAGUGAACCAAGUGAGAAUU
rnacentral:tRNA from 1 species